rnacentral:lncRNA from 1 species
GAGAAAGUUAAUAUAAGGAUGACAACAGAGUUGAUUAAGACGCAGAUAUAUAGUGGAGAUGACAAGAAGCUCUUCAAAGAAUUCAAACUUUCCCUCAGAUUAACAAGAAACAUGUCGAAUAAGUAGCGCGGAUUUAUAGCUUUUUUUAGCAUGAAAAAACUAGAGACCAGUCCUGUUGAUAAGAGAAGAAGCUCUAUGGUAAAUAUUGCAGUUUGGACCAUGCUUUUCUUCUCUGAUAUUCUAUAGUUAAUCAAGGAAUCCAUGGAUUGAGAUGGCGUAGAAGUUAGGAAAAGAGCAAGAAAAUACUGUUUCGUUUAAGUUUAAUGGAGGACUGUGAUGUUUACAAGAAAUGCAUAUUGAAAAGAUAAUUAGAGAAGAAGGAGAAUUAAGUUCAUCAUAAGUGGGGAUUUUUAUUUUGC